rnacentral:miRNA from 1 species
UGCAAAAGUAAUUGCAGUUUUUG